GACGAACGCUGGCGGCGUGCCUAAUACAUGCAAGUCGAGCGAAGUUUUUCUGGUGCUUGCACUAGAAAAACUUAGCGGCGAACGGGUGAGUAACACGUAAAGAACCUGCCACAUAGACUGGGACAACUAUUGGAAACGAUAGCUAAUACCGGAUAACAGUAUUUCUCGCAUGAGAGAUAUUUAAAAGUUGGUUAUGCUAACACUAUGAGAUGGCUUUGCGGUGCAUUAGCUAGUUGGUGGGGUAAAGGCCCACCAAGGCGACGAUGCAUAGCCGACCUGAGAGGGUGAUCGGCCACACUGGGACUGAGACACGGCCCAGACUCCUACGGGAGGCAGCAGUAGGGAAUCUUCCGCAAUGGGCGAAAGCCUGACGGAGCAACGCCGCGUGAGUGAAGAAGGAUUUCGGUUCGUAAAGCUCUGUUGUUAGGGAAGAAUGGAUAUGUAGUAACUAUACAUGUAAGAGACGGUACCUAACCAGAAAGCCACGGCUAACUACGUG
rnacentral:rRNA from 1 species